AUUCUCAACCUGAUCUCCUGCUCUGAGGCCCCAACGCCCCCAGCGCCCACCUCUUCCAACAGGUCCCGCCCCUGAACACAAGACUGAGGGGACACUGUUCGAGAUCCAUACCUCAACCACCCACGCACAGGCAGGGGCACCCGCUAACUGGCACCUCCUCCUGACCAGGCUCUCCCGCACCCUUCUUUUCCAUGCUAGUUCUGUCACGUGAUCUCCUCCGGGGAAGCGGGGAGGAAGGCCGGACCCCAGAUGUGCCGUUGUAAUGAGAGGAGCCGACGCACACCAGGUCCUCAGCCUGGGAGAGGCACGGUAAACGCUUGGUGAGCUGCAAUGACCACAGCAAUCAGCCCCACCGGAGGGCUGGACUCCCUCCCCUGCAGGGGCUGAUCCAGGCUCCUGGACACUGCACUCUCCUGGUCCGAGCAGGUGACAGCCUCUUCCCGCUUACGCAAUGCCAAGUGUCCUGCCCAGUGCCUGCCUGACGCUCAGUGUCUGACGGGUGAGCCACCGUUGCCUGCCUACAUCCAGCAGCUCCUGAAUCCUGUGGGGAGCAAAGUUGUUCCAGGCCCACGUCCACGGCCCGGGUCUUUUCAGCCGUAAUAAUCACAUUUCAGGCUCUGCUUUAUCACCGCUGAACUGGAAACGGCUUCCUCUGUGAAAGAGAAGUAGGCGGGGUCUUCCGAGACAGAGUGGGCCUUGUGGGGACUCCAGUGAGCCCCUUGUGGAUGGGUGCACCGAGGGCCAGACACCAAGGUGGGGCAGAAACACACUGAGGCCACUACUCCCACAGCUGGUCGUGGGGCAGCCUUGGAGGAGAGGACCACAGGCUCAGAGCCACCUGGGUGCCUGCAGCUGGGCAGCACUGGUCAUUGAGGUUCGGGGAGAAUUUGUGCAGAAUUCGGAGAGAAGGGAUCCACAAAGCCAGGGUGCAGGGCUCACAGAAAUGUUGCUUGGACGUUAUGAGGAUAUGCUGCACUGGGGAUCGAACCCAGGGCCUCACACGCUGCUUGGCAACUGUCUUGUGCAUAGCUACACAGCUCUUCAAAGGAUCUCACUUAACUAAUAGACGUGUGGCUGCUGUAGAUCUGGUUCCAAGAGGCUGCUGGACCCCGAUCUCAUGGAUUCCUUCACCGCCCCCGCCGGCCCCGCCCGGGUGCCCACAAGUGUUUUGAAGCAGACUCUAUGAAAAGAGGCAUCAAACGAAGAAGAUGCACUGCGAUGUCCUUAGUGGUACCAUGCUGCCUGCUGGUGACAGCUCCAGAGGGAGGGGCAGACUCCGGAACGCUGUGGACGGUGAGGAGUGCCCACAGACCACGCUUCACAGCACAAGCCCACGGCCACGGCAUUUAAGUACUCAGCCCGCAUCGCUGCACAGACUUUAAGUGAGCUGACAGCUUUUGCAAACAGACUGCAAAAAACUACAAGAAAAAAAUUUAGAGAAUGCUUUGUUGGUAUUGAUAAAGCCAGUGUGUGCUCUGGACCUUUGAAUUUGAUACAAAUUCUAACUUGAUUCAAGGCUUAGUGCCUUUAUUUAACUUGGAAAAACAGACUUGGGAAAUGAAUAUACUUGUGGUUGAAAGUCAAAAUCAAUUCUUCUAAAAAUUGUAAGCCAGUUUGGUCAAUGUAGAUGUACACAAUAAAAAAAAUACGAUUUU